rnacentral:rRNA from 1 species
CGUAGGGUGCGAGCGUUAAUCGGAAUUACUGGGCGUAAAGCGUGCGCAGGCGGUUUUGUAAGACAGGCGUGAAAUCCCCGGGCUCAACCUGGGAACUGCGCUUGUGACUGCAAGGCUAGAGUACGGCAGAGGGGGGUGGAAUUCCACGUGUAGCAGUGAAAUGCGUAGAGAUGUGGAGGAACACCAAUGGCGAAGGCAGCCCCCUGGGUCGAUACUGACGCUCAUGCACGAAAGCGUGGGUAGCAAACAGGAUUAGAUACCCUGGUAGUCCACGCCCUAAACGAUGUCAACUAGGUGUUGGGUGGGUAAAACCAUUUAGUACCGGAGCUAACGCGUGAAGUUGACCGCCAGGGGAGUACGGCCGCAAGGUUA